UACGGGGGGGGGCAAGCGUUGUUCGGAAUUACUGGGCGUAAAGAGCUCGUAGGCGGCUUGUCGCGUCGUCCGUGAAAACCUGCGGCUCAACUGCAGGCUGGCGGUCGAUACGGGCAGGCUGGAGUUCGGUAGGGGAGACUGGAAUUCCUGGUGUAGCGGUGAAAAUGCGUAGAUAUCUGGAGGAAUACCGGUGGCGAAGGCGGCAUCCUGGACCGGCAUUGACGCUGAGGAGCGAAAGCUAGGGGGAGCAAACGGG
rnacentral:rRNA from 1 species